rnacentral:rRNA from 1 species
GAUGAACGCUGGCGGCGUGCCUAAUACAUGCAAGUAGAACGCUGAAGGAAGGAGCUUGCUCUUUCCGGAUGAGUUGCGAACGGGUGAGUAACGCGUAGGUAACCUGCCUGGUAGCCGGGGAUAACUAUUUGAAACGACAGCUAAUACUGCAUAACAGUAGCUGUUGCAUGAUACAUACUUAAAACGUGCAAUUGCCCCACUACCAGAUGGACCUGCGUUGUAUUAGCUAGUUGGUUAGGUAACCGCCCACCAAGGCGACGAUACAUAGCCGGGCUGGAAGGGUGAACCGCCACAAUGGGACCGGGAAACGGCCCCAGAUUCUACGGGAAGGAGCAGGAGGGAAACUUCGGCAAAUGACGGAAGUCUGACCGAGCAAAGCCGGGUUAGGGAAGAAAGGUUUCGGAUCGUAAAGCUCUGUUUGAUGAGAAAGACGAGUGUGAGGGUGGAAAGUUCACGCUGUGACGGUAUCUUAAGAGAAAGGGACGGCUAACUACGUG